rnacentral:snRNA from 1 species
AUGCUUGCUUUGGCAGCACAUAUACUAAAAUUGGAAUAAUACAGAGAAGAUUAGCAUGGCCCCUGUGCAAGGAUGACAUGCAAAUUCAUGAAGCAUUCCAUAUUUAA